rnacentral:rRNA from 1 species
GAUGAACGCUAGCGGCAGGCUUAAUACAUGCAAGUCGAGGGGCAGCAGGGGUAGCAAUACUCGCUGGCGACCGGCAAACGGGUGCGGAACACGUACGCAACCUUCCCAUAACUGGUGAAUAGCCUUCCGAAAGGGAGAUUAAUACACCGUAACAUAAUGAAGUGGCAUCACUUUAUUAUUAUAGCUCCGGCGGUUAUGGAUGGGCGUGCGCCUGAUUAGGUAGUUGGUAGGGUAACGGCCUACCAAGCCUUCGAUCAGUAACUGGUGUGAGAGCACGACCAGUCACACGGGCACUGAGACACGGGCCCGACUCCUACGGGAGGCAGGCAGUAAGGAAUAUUGGUCAAUGGACGCAAGUCUGAACCAGCCAUGCCGCGUGAAGGAUGAAGGCCCUCUGGGUUGUAAACUUCUUUUAUCUGGGACGAAAAUAGGCUUUCCAGCUUACUUGACGGUACCAGAGGAAUAAGCACCGGCUAACUCCGUGCCAGCAGCCGCGGUAAAA